GAAGCAUAGCAACAACCGGAAAACACAACACCCAUCAUGGAAGAGAACAUACAAGAUGAGGGAAUGAUAGUGGUCUUGUUACUUUAGUUAACAGACUAAUA